GAUGAACGCUGGCGGCGUGCCUAAUACAUGCAAGUCGAGCGAACAGACGAGGAGCUUGCUCCUCUGACGUUAGCGGCGGACGGGCGAGUAACACGUGGAUAACCUACCUAUAAGACUGGGAUAACGUCGGGAAACCGGAGCUAAUACCGGAUAAUAUAUUGAACCGCAUGGUUCAAUAGUGAAAGACGGUUUUGCUGACACGUAUAGAUGGAUCCGCGCCGCAUUAGCUAGUUGGUAAGGUAACGGCUUACCAAGGCAACGAUGCGUAGCCGACCUGAGAGGGUGAUCGGCCACACUGGAACUGAGCCACGGUCCAGACUCCUCCGGGAGGCAGCAUUAGGGAAUCUUCCGCAAUGGGCGAAGGCCUGACGGAGCAACGCCGCGUGAGUGAUGAAGUUCUUCGGAUCGUAAAACUCUUUUAUUAGGGAGGACCAAAUGUGUAAGUAACUAUGCACGUCUUGACGGUACCUAAUCAGAAAGCCACGGCUAACUACGUG
rnacentral:rRNA from 1 species